CCUACGGGAGGCAGCAGUAGGGAAUCUUCGGCAAUGGGGGCAACCCUGACCGAGCAACGCCGCGUGAGUGAAGAAGGUUUUCGGAUCGUAAAGCUCUGUUGUAAGUCAAGAACGGGUGUGAGAGUGGAAAGUUCACACUGUGACGGUAGCUUACCAGAAAGGGACGGCUAACUACGUGCCAGCAGCCGCGGUAAUACGUAGGUCCCGAGCGUUGUCCGGAUUUAUUGGGCGUAAAGCGAGCGCAGGCGGUUUGAUAAGUCUGAAGUUAAAGGCUGUGGCUCAACCAUAGUUCGCUUUGGAAACUGUCAAACUUGAGUGCAGAAGGGGAGAGUGGAAUUCCAUGUGUAGCGGUGAAAUGCGUAGAUAUAUGGAGGAACACCGGUGGCGAAAGCGGCUCUCUGGUCUGUAACUGACGCUGAGGCUCGAAAGCGUGGGGAGCGAACAGGAUUAGAUACCCUGGUAGUCCCACGACCGUAACGAUAGAGUGCGUAGGUGUUGGUAGUCCGUUUCCGGUACGUUCUAGUGCCGCGAGCUACGACAUAAGACACUCCGCCGUCGGGGAGGUACGGACCGACCGACGGUUAGUAACGUACGAAAGGAAAGUUAGUACGGCGUGAGACGUGACCGAACGGACGACGACGAGGGAGGAGG
rnacentral:rRNA from 1 species